rnacentral:rRNA from 1 species
ACAAUGGAGAGUUUGAUCCUGGCUCAGGAUGAACGCUAGCGGGAGGCCUAACACAUGCAAGCCGAGCGGUAGAUUGCUUUCGGGCAAUUGAGAGCGGCGUACGGGUGCGGAACACGUGUGCAACCUGCCUUUAUCUGGGGGAUAGCCUUUCGAAAGGAAGAUUAAUACCCCAUAAUAUAAGAGACGGCAUCGUUUUUUAUUGAAAACUCCGGUGGAUAGAGAUGGGCACGCGCAAGAUUAGAUAGUUGGUGAGGUAACGGCUCACCAAGUCUACGAUCUUUAGGGGGCCUGAGAGGGUGAUCCCCCACACUGGUACUGAGACACGGACCAGACUCCUACGGGAGGCAGCAGUGAGGAAUAUUGGACAAUGGGUGAAAGCCUGAUCCAGCCAUCCCGCGUGAAGGACGACGGCCCUAUGGGUUGUAAACUUCUUUUGUAUAGGGAUAAACCUUUCCACGUGUGGAAAGCUGAAGGUACUAUACGAAUAAGCACCGGCUAACUCCGUGCCAGCAGCCGCGGUAAUACGGAGGGUGCAAGCGUUAUCCGGAUUUAUUGGGUUUAAAGGGUCCGUAGGCUGAUUUGUAAGUCAGUGGUGAAAUCUCACAGCUUAACUGUGAAACUGCCAUUGAUACUGCAAGUCUUGAGUGUUGUUGAAGUAGCUGGAAUAAGUAGUGUAGCGGUGAAAUGCAUAGAUAUUACUUAGAACACCAAUUGCGAAGGCAGGUUACUAAGCAACAACUGACGCUGAUGGACGAAAGCGUGGGGAGCGAACAGGAUUAGAUACCCUGGUAGUCCACGCCGUAAACGAUGCUAACUCGUUUUUGGGAUGUAAAUUUCAGAGACUAAGCGAAAGUGAUAAGUUAGCCACCUGGGGAGUACGAACGCAAGUUUGAAACUCAAAGGAAUUGACGGGGGCCCGCACAAGCGGUGGAUUAUGUGGUUUAAUUCGAUGAUACGCGAGGAACCUUACCAAGGCUUAAAUGGGAAAUGACAGGCUUAGAAAUAGGCUUUUCUUCGGACAUUUUUCAAGGUGCUGCAUGGUUGUCGUCAGCUCGUGCCGUGAGGUGUUAGGUUAAGUCCUGCAACGAGCGCAACCCCUGUCACUAGUUGCCAUCAUUAAGUUGGGGACUCUAGUGAGACUGCCUACGCAAGUAGAGAGGAAGGUGGGGAUGACGUCAAAUCAUCACGGCCCUUACGCCUUGGGCCACACACGUAAUACAAUGGCCGGUACAGAGGGCAGCUACACAGUGAUGUGAUGCAAAUCUCGAAAGCCGGUCUCAGUUCGGAUUGGAGUCUGCAACUCGACUCUAUGAAGCUGGAAUCGCUAGUAAUCGCGCAUCAGCCAUGGCGCGGUGAAUACGUUCCCGGGCCUUGUACACACCGCCCGUCAAGCCAUGGAAGUCUGGGGUACCUGAAGUCGGUGACCGUAAAAGGAGCUGCCUAGGGUAAAACAGGUAACUAGGGCUAAGUCGUAACAAGGUAGCCGUACCGGAAGGUGCGGCUGGAACAUCUCAUUUUAGA